GACGAACGCUGGCGGCGUGCUUAACACAUGCAAGUCGAACGGAAAGGCCCUGCUUUUGUGGGGUGCUCGAGUGGCGAACGGGUGAGUAACACGUGAGUAACCUGCCCUUGACUUUGGGAUAACUUCAGGAAACUGGGGCUAAUACCGGAUAGGAGCUCCUGCUGCAUGGUGGGGGAUGGAAAGUUUCGGCGGUUGGGGAUGGACUCGCGGCUUAUCAGCUUGUUGGUGGGGUAGUGGCUUACCAAGGCUUUGACGGGUAGCCGGCCUGAGAGGGUGACCGGCCACCUUGGGACUGCGAUACGGCCCAGACUCCUACGGUCGGCAGCAGUCGGGAAUAUUGCACAAUGGGCGCAAGCCUGAUGCAGCAACGCCGCGUGCGGGAUGACGGCCUUCGGGUUGUAAACCGCUUUCGCCUGUGACGAAGCGUGAGUGACGGUAAUGGGUAAAGAAGCACCGGCUAACUACGUG
rnacentral:rRNA from 1 species